GGCUCACCCCUAGCCUCGUUGUGACGUCCGGACAGCUGAUGCGGAGUUGUGUCUCUCUCCACAGCUACGCCAUGCCCACCAAGACCACGGAGGUGAUGCUGGUGCAAGAGCAAGGGUCCAAGAUGAAGCUGGAUGCCGUCCUUACGACCCACCAGCGUGUGGUUCAGAUCCAAGGCUUGAAGGCCACCUUCGCUCCCGUCCUCUUAGAAAUCAUUCAGAGUAA